AUACGGAGGAUGCAAGCGUUAUCCGGAUUUAUUGGGUUUAAAGGGUGCGUAGGCGGUUUGCUAAGCGGGAGGUGAAAUGCCGGCGCUCAACGUCGGAAGUGCCUCCCGAACUGGUGGACUGGAAUGACUCUGCCGUGGGAGGAAUGUGUAGUGUAGCGGUGAAAUGCUUAGAGGUUACACAGAACACCGAUUGCGAAGGCAUCUCACGAAGGGUUGAUUGACGCUGAGGCACGAAAGCGUGGGGAUCAAACAGGAUUAGAUACCCUGGUAGUCCACGCAGUAAACGAUGAUGGCUAACCGCUGGAUCUGUCGGUUCAGUGGCCAAGCGAAAGCGAUAAGCCAUCCACCUGGGGAGUACGACCGCAAGGUUGAAACUCAAAGGAAUUGACGGGG
rnacentral:rRNA from 1 species